rnacentral:rRNA from 2 species
GGAUCCAGACUUUGAUCAUGGCUCAGGAUGAACGCUAGCUACAGGCUUAACACAUGCAAGUCGAGGGGAAACGAUAUUGGAAGCUUGCUUCCGAUAGGCGUCGACCGGCGCACGGGUGAGUAACGCGUAUCUAACCUGCCCAUCACUUGGGAAUAACCUUGCGAAAGUAAGACUAAUGCCCAAUGACAUUUAUAGAAGGCAUCUGAAAUGAAUUAAAGAUUUAUCGGUGAUGGAUGGGGAUGCGUCUGAUUAGCUUGUUGGCGGGGUAACGGCCCACCAAGGCGACGAUCAGUAGGGGUUCUGAGAGGAAGGUCCCCCACAUUGGAACUGAGACACGGUCCAAACUCCUACGGGAGGCAGCAGUGAGGAAUAUUGGUCAAUGGGCGGGAGCCUGAACCAGCCAAGUAGCGUGCAGGAUGACGGCCCUAUGGGUUGUAAACUGCUUUUAUAGGGGAAUAAAGUGAGCCACGUGUGGUUUUUUGCAUGUACCCUAUGAAUAAGGACCGGCUAAUUCCGUGCCAGCAGCCGCGGUAAUACGGAAGGUCCGGGCGUUAUCCGGAUUUAUUGGGUUUAAAGGGAGCGUAGGCCGGAGAUUAAGCGUGUUGUGAAAUGUAGAUGCUCAACAUCUGCACUGCAGCGCGAACUGGUUUCCUUGAGUACGCAUAAAGUGGGCGGGAUUCGUGGUGUAGCGGUGAAAUGCUUAGAUAUCACGAAGAACUCCGAUUGCGAAGGCAGCUCACUGGGGCGCAACUGACGCUGAAGCUCGAAAGCGCGGGUAUCGAACAGGAUUAGAUACCCUGGUAGUCCGCGCGGUAAACGAUGGAUGCCCGCUGUUGGGCCAACUGGUUCAGCGGCCAAGCGAAAGCAUUAAGCAUCCCACCUGGGGAGUACGCCGGCAACGGUGCAACUCAAGAGGAAUUGACGG